AGACCGGCGUGAGCCAGGUCGGUUUCUAUCUAGAAUUCAAAAAUAAACAAAGACCAAUUUACCUUCUAGUACGAAAGGAUCGAAGGAUUUAUAUCCUCUGGUGUUUCAAUUCAAAUAUAGGGAGCGAAAGGGCAGCGCCGAAGGCGCGGGCCGGCCCAAAAUUGGGCGCCGCGGGCCCAUCCGUUGGAUCCGCGUCGCCGGGGGACUUCGUUUUGGUUCCCGUCGUUGAGUAGCUACGAUAUAAAGAAUAAUUGCUGAAUGCAACUCAAGCAAGAAAUCUCUGGUUUUAUAAAUUGUUAGUUCUCAUGGUGGGGGGCCGGAUCCGUUGGGUCCGCCCCAAGGUCUUUGGCACCCCGUUUUUGAGAUCAAAAUUUUGUUUAAAUACAAUCGGAGUAGACGACUUCGUUUU
rnacentral:rRNA from 1 species